rnacentral:rRNA from 1 species
GAUGAACGCUGGCGGCGUGCUUAACACAUGCAAGUCGAGCGAAGCACUUAUCAUUGACUCUUCGGGAGAUUUGAUAUUUGACUGAGCGGCGGACGGGUGAGUAACGCGUGGGUAACCUGCCUCAUACAGGGGAAUAACAGUUAGAAAUGGCUGCUAAUGCCGCAUAAGCGCACAGGACCGCAUGGUCUGGUGUGAAAAACUGAGGUGGUAUGAGAUGGACCCGCGUCUGAUUAGGUAGUUGGUGGGGUAACGGCCUACCAAGCCGACGAUCAGUAGCCGGCCUGAGAGGGUGAACGGCCACAUUGGGACUGAGACACGGCCCAGACUCCUACGGGAGGCAGCAGUGGGGAAUAUUGCACAAUGGGGGAAACCCUGAUGCAGCGACGCCGCGUGAAGGAAGAAGUAUCUCGGUAUGUAAACUUCUAUCAGCAGGGAAGAAAAUGACGGUAC